AGAGUUUGAUCCUGGCUCAGAACGAACGCUGGCGGCAUGCCUAACACAUGCAAGUCGAACGCAUCGCAAGAUGAGUGGCGCACGGGUGAGUAACGCGUGGGAAUCUGCCUAGCAGUGGGGAAUAACCGAGGGAAACUUCGGCUAAUACCGCAUACGCCCGAAAGGGGAAAGAUUUAUCGCUGCUAGAUGAGCCCGCGUCG
rnacentral:rRNA from 1 species